rnacentral:rRNA from 1 species
UACGGAGGGUGCAAGCGUUAAUCGGAAUUACUGGGCGUAAAGCGUGCGCAGGCGGCUUUGCAAGACAGAUGUGAAAUCCCCGGGCUUAACCUGGGAACUGCAUUUGUGACUGCAUGGCUAGAGUGCGGCAGAGGGGGAUGGAAUUCCGCGUGUAGCAGUGAAAUGCGUAGAUAUGCGGAGGAACACCGAUGGCGAAGGCAAUCCCCUGGGCCGGCACUGACGCUCAUGCACGAAAGCGUGGGGAGCAAACAGG